GCUGGCGGCGUGCCUAAUACAUGCAAGUCGAGCGAAUCGACGGGUAGCUUGCUCCCUGACAUUAGCGGCGGACGGGUGAGUAACACGUGGGCAACCUGCCUAUAAGACUGGGAUAACUUCGGGAAACCGGAGCUAAUACCGGAUACGUUCUUUUCUCGCAUGAGAGAAGAUGGAAAGACGGUUUACGCUGUCACUUAUAGAUGGGCCCGCGGCGCAUUAGCUAGUUGGUGAGGUAAUGGCUCACCAAGGCGACGAUGCGUAGCCGACCUGAGAGGGUGAUCGGCCACACUGGGACUGAGACACGGCCCAGACUCCUACGGGAGGCAGCAGUAGGGAAUCUUCCGCAAUGGACGAAAGUCUGACGGAGCAACGCCGCGUGAACGAAGAAGGCCUUCGGGUCGUAAAGUUCUGUUGUUAGGGAAGAACAAGUACCAGAGUAACUGCUGGUACCUUGACGGUACCUAACCAGAAAGCCACGGCUAACUACGUGCCAGCAGCCGCGGUAAUACGUAGGUGGCAAGCGUUGUCCGGAAUUAUUGGGCGUAAAGCGCGCGCAGGUGGUUCCUUAAGUCUGAUGUGAAAGCCCACGGCUCA
rnacentral:rRNA from 1 species